rnacentral:tRNA from 1 species
UUAUUUAUAGUAUAAAUAGUACAUUUGUCUUCCAAACAAAAAGUCCUCUAAUUGGUAAAUAAG